rnacentral:pre_miRNA from 1 species
ACGCGGUCGUGCAGGAAAUUAUUUGGCAUUAGAUUCAAAUGUUAACUGUAAGACUGUGUCU